rnacentral:rRNA from 1 species
UACGUAGGGUGCAAGCGUUGUCCGGAAUUAUUGGGCGUAAAGAGCUCGUAGGCGGUCUGUCGCGUCGAAUGUGAAAACCCGGGGCUCAACCCCGGGCCUGCAUUCGAUACGGGCAGACUAGAGUUCGGUAGGGGAGUCUGGAAUUCCUGGUGUAGCGGUGAAAUGCGCAGAUAUCAGGAGGAACACCGGUGGCGAAGGCGGGUCUCUGGGCCAUAACUGACGCUGAGGAGCGAAAGCGUGGGGAGCGAACAGG